rnacentral:misc_RNA from 1 species
CACCACACGAGCAACCAACGAACGUGACGCGGCGUUUUGCUGUUGUUGUUGUUCACCUACCGACAUCCCCUCCCCCAACCACCACCAUCCGUGCGCCACGCCACCGCUGCAUCGACAUCACCUCUUCGAGCCCCCCUCCUCCCCUGGUCGAGCAGCAGUAGCAGUAUAUACACACGCAAGAACGCAUAGGGAAGUGAAAAGAGAGGGCAAUCCGACCUCUCUCCGUCGAGGGUACGGAGUCGUCAGCGGACCGCGUGCAGAGGAACGUCCAUCGACUGCGCGGCUCCCUCUUCGUCUUUCCGCUCCCCUACCAAGCAAGCGCGCUAGGACGCGCGCGAGCUCACACGCGCACCGGCCUGUAGGCACCCCUCCCUCCCUUCCCCCUCUGUCUCUGUUUCUGUCUCUGUCUGUGUGUAUGUGUAUGUGUAUGUGUAUGUGUCGGGGUGGGGGCGUGUAUCAUCACUAACCACACACACACUCGCAGCCACUGUAGGCCUGGCAGGCGUUAUAGUAGUUCUCGUAGCACUAGUAGUAGUAGCAGCAGGCCCCACCAGUGGUCACUCCGUGCCUUUCUCAAUCUCCGCAUACGCCUGUCUUCGCAUCCUUGUCCUCUGCUAAGUACGUGCCGAGUCGCGGUCGCACAGGCACACAGAGACGGAGUCCGAGUACGAGUGGCGAACGUGGGUCUGCGUGUGUGCAUGCAGCAGAACGCCGCAAGUAGCUCCACCCCCACCGCCAUUUUCUCUUAGCAACUCCCCUCUGUCUCUCUCUCCCGCAGGCGCAGCAUGGCCAAGGUGGCCUCCGCUGGUUGGCGCUACGCCCGCUGCGGCCCCAUCAGCCAAGUGUUAGCCUACGAAAUGUUUGACAUCACCCCUGGUAAGGAGGAAGCGGUGGUGCAGAUGGCAACGGCGCCCUUGCAUCGCGUCGACGCCGCUGUCGUGAACGGCACGGCGCUCGGCCGCAAGCGCGUCAACAUGGCAUCCUUUCCCCGUAUCGGCGGGUGCGAAGGUGUGGGCAAAGUGGUGCGUGCUCCGGCAGCUGCUGCAGCGACGCCUUCGCCGGUGAAGGAGGGCGACACGGUGUGGGUGGCGCCGCUGCAUGGCACGUGGGCGACGAACAUCGCAGUGCCGGUGUCGCAGCUGCAUAAGAUUGAUCCGAGGCAAGCGGAGAUGGCGGCAACGGCCUCCAACUUCCUCGUAGCCCAGCAGCUGCUGGAUGGCUAUGCCCGGCUGCAGAAGGGCGACAUCGUCAUCCAGAACGGCGGAAGUAGCCUAACCUCUCUAGCGGUCUCGGCGUUGGCCAAGGCCUACGGUGUAAAGGUGCUGACCGCCGCCACGCCGAGUGCUCGCUUCGCAGACGCGAAGCAGCGACAUGCGAAGUACGGCUCUGACGUCUUUGAGUACAACGGGGCCGGGUCGCGCGCAAUGCAGGCCGCCGUUGGCAAGCGCGGCGCCGCCCUCUACCUCAACGGCGUCGGCGGUCGCUACUUCGACUCGCUUCUCAAGUGCGUCGGCCCUAUGGCGCACGUCGUCACGUACGGCGCGCAGAACGGCUUCGGCCUGUUCAUCUCCGGCUCCAGUCUCAUCUACAACGAGGUCACCAUGGCUGGCCUGUUUGCCCCCACGUUCCUGAGCUCGAUGUCCUACGGCGAGCGUCAGGCAAAGCUGGAGUUUGUGCUGAGGGCCGUGCAGGAGGCCGGCAUCGCCUACCCGAUGGCAACGGCACCGUCGCUGGAGAAGCUCCCGGAGGUCUGGGACGACGUGUACGUCAACGGCGGGCGCAAGGCCGUCGUGAAGAUGGCGGCCUGAGAGCAGCGCCGCCACCGGUUGUGUCGGCGCGUGUUCAUGUCGCACCUGUCCCG